rnacentral:lncRNA from 1 species
CUCCCAAAACCUUCUCCAGAACUACACCAGGACCUUCUCCAGAACCACCCAAAAACGUCCUUCAGAACCUCCUCUGGACCUUCUCCAGAACCUCCCAAAAACCUCCUUCAAAAGCUCCCCAAAACCUUCUCCAGAACCUCCCAAAACCUCCUCCAAAAGCUCCCAAAACCCUCUCCAGAACCUCCCAAAAUCUCCCCAAAACCUUCUCCAGAACCUCCCAAAAACCUCCUCCAAAAGCUCCCCAAAACAUUCUCCAGAACCUCCCGAAAGCUCCCCAAAACCUUCUCUAGAACCUCCCAAAAUGUCCUCCCAGAACCUCCCUGAAGUCCUCCAGAGCCUGUCCCCCGCUCUCACCUGCAGGAGGGAGGAUGAACUGAGGGAACCUCUGGAUGGGCUUCACCAUCAGCCCGUAGAGCGUGACGCGGUCGGCGCUGGCCAUCUGCCGCUUCUGCGGCGGGGAAACGCCACGGUGACGGGGGUUUUGGGGACACGCCACCAAAAAACGGGAAUUUUGGGAAAAGCCGAGCCCGGAGGGGCCGCGCUGACCUUGAGGAAGUCCAGGAAGGCGGGUUUGGUCAGACAGGCCUUCUUGAUCAGGGACAUGGCCGCCGUGAAGUUGUUGACGUAGUCGCUGUAGACGUCCAGGACCAUGGACUUGGAGAACUGGGAGAGGAUGGGAGAGCGGGAAUGGGGUGGGGUGUCACAAAAACUGGGUGGGGCUUCCAAAAAAUCAGGUGGGGCUUCCAAAAAAUGGGGUGGGAUUCCAAAAACCAGGUGGGACUUCCAAAAAAUCAGGUGGGGCUUCACAAAAACUGGGUGGGGCUUCCAAAAUAUGGGGUGGGGCUUCCAAAACCAGGUGGGGCUUCCAAAAAAUGGGGUGGAAUUUUCAAAAACCGUGUGGAGCUUCCAAAAAAUGAGGUGGGGAUUCCAAAAAAUGACGUGGGGCUUCCAAAAACCAGGUGGAGCUUCACAAAAACUGGGUGGGGCUUCCAAAAAAAGGGGUGGGGCUCCCAAAAAAUGGGGUGGGGCUUCCAAAAACCAGGUGGGGCUUCCAAAAACCAGGUGGGGGCUUCACAAAACCGGGUGGGGCUUCAGAAAAACUGGGUGGGGCUUCACAAAAACUGGGUGGGGCUUCCAAAAAAUGAGGUGGGCUUCACAAAACCAGGUGGGGCUUCACAAAAACUGGGUGGGCUUCCAAAAAAUGGGGUGGGGCUUCACAAAAAAUGAGAUGGGGCUUCCAAAAAAUGAGGUGGGGCUUCCAAAAAAUGGGGUGGGGCUUCCAAAAAAUGGGGUGGGGCUUCCAAAAACCAGGUGGGGCUUCCAAAAACCAGGUGGGGCUUCAAAAAACCGGGGGGGGCUUCAGAAAAAAUGGGUGGGGCUUCACAAAACUGGGGUGGGGCUUCCAAAAAAUGUGGUGGGGCUUCACAAAAACUGGGUGGGGCUUCCAAAAAAUGAGGUGGGGCUUCCAAAAACCAGGUGGGGCUUCCAAAAAAUGAGGUGGGGCUUCCAAAAAAUGAGGUGGGCUUCCAAAAACCCAGGUGGGGCUUCAACAAAAACCCGGGUGGGGCUUCCAAAAAAUGAGGUGGGGCUUCUAAAAAAUGGGGUGGGGCUUCCCAAAAAACCAGGUGGGGCUUCCCAAAAAAUGAGGUGGGGCUUCCAAAAAAUGAGGUGGGGCUUCACAAAAACCAGGUGGGGCUUCCAAAAAAUGAGGGUGGGGCUUCCAAAACCAGGUGGGGCUUCCAAAAAAUGA